AGAGUUUGAUCCUGGCUCAGAAUCAACGCUGGCGGCGUGCCUAACACAUGCAAGUCGAACGAGAAAGCCCGCAAGGGUGAGUAAAGUGGCGACCGGGUGAGUAACACGUAGCUAACCUACCCUCGAGUGGGGGAUAACCUGGGGAAACCUGGGCUAAUACCGCAUAACAUUCCGGCGGCGAAAGCCGCUGUAAGCAAAGGCCCGCAAGGGUCGCUGGAGGAGGGGGCUGCGGCCGAUUAGCUAGUUGGUGAGGUAAUGGCCCACCAAGGCGAUGAUCGGUAGCCGGCCUGAGAGGGCGCACGGCCACACUGGCACUGAAACACGGGCCAGACUCCUACGGGAGGCAGCAGUGGGGAACUUUGCACAAUGCCCGAAAGGGUGAUGCAGCAACGCCGCGUGAGGGAUGAAGGCCUUCGGGUCGUAAACCUCUUUCGAUCGGGAAAAACGGCCCUGUGAAGAGCGGGGUCUGAUGAUACCGGAAGAAGAAGCCCCGGCCAACUACGUGCCAGCAGCCGCGGUAAUACGUAGGGGGCGAGCGUUGUUCGGAAUUACUGGGCGUAAAGGGCGUGUAGGCGGUGCGGUAAGUUGGGCGUGAAAUCCCCGGGCUUAACUCGGGGGGGCCGUUCAAGACUGCCGUGCUAGGGUGCGGGAGAGGGCAGUGGAAUUCCCGGUGUAGCGGUGAAAUGCGUAGAUAUCGGGAGGAACACCUGCGGCGAAGGCGGCUGCCUGGACCGUAACCGACGCUGAGGCGCGAAAGCUAGGGGAGCAAACAGGAUUAGAUACCCUGGUAGUCCUAGCCCUAAACGUUGAACACUGGGUGUAGCCCCUCACGGGGCUGUGCCGAAGCUAACGCAUUAAGUGUUCCGCCUGGGGAGUACGGUCGCAAGGCUGAACUCAAAGGAAUUGACGGGGGCCCGCACAAGCGGUGGAGCAUGUGGUUCAAUUCGACGCACGCGAAGAACCUUACCUGGACUCGAAAUGCAGUUGACCGCCUCAGAGAUGGAGG
rnacentral:rRNA from 1 species